CAAACUGUAGUUUAUUAAAAAUUUUUACUUUGGGGGUAAGAGAUGUCAUACAAUGAUCAGUUUGA
rnacentral:tRNA from 1 species